rnacentral:lncRNA from 1 species
GUUGGAUCUAAAACCAGAUGUCUUUGAAGAAACUAUCAGGUCUGGUAAGAAUAAGAGGAAACAAAAUGUUAUUGGCAUGCUCAAUAAUGAUAAAGCCAAGAUGUCACCUGCCAGUACAAUGAAGAGGGACUGGGGUCUUGGCACUAAAAGUCUCCCUGAAUUGCCAUCAUGUCAUGAAAAAUACUUUGUUUUAAACUUAAUGGAAUGGAUUGUCAUUUUGGUGGAUUUUUGCCAGUGAAGAAUUUAUCAGACUCAAUAGCCUCCAUCACUUGGCAGGACAGAAAGGCCUCGAAAGCCUCUUUCAGUAUCUCUGAGCAUACCUAACAUUUAGAAAGGUAGGCCUGUGUAGCAAGUGUGAAAGUGUUCCUCUCCAUGCCCUUACGGCUUUACUCAACCAUGUUUCCUCUUUUAUCAUUUAUUGGAAAAACCUUUUACUAUCUCUUCUUACUUCCUUUCCUUUGUUAGCUACAAAGGGAAGAUUUUCUUUUGCAAAUCCUUAGUAAUUAAAUGAGCACUUCAGUGGCUGUAGCCCUCAAUGGCCUGUUUCCUAGGUUUUGCCUUUGACAGUCAUAUUUUGCAAAGGCCCCUGAGAUGACUCUGCAUCUUCCCCUACUCAACGCUAAACCAACUGAAGCCCGUGCUCACUGCAUGAAGGAGGAAAAGAUUCAUUAAGGGCACUUCAUUAAGAGGCUGAAAUGGGAAGCUCUAAAUGCGCCUGAACCAACUACAAUCCAGAGAAGCUGUCUAUUAGGAGUGCCACAAAGACAGUUUCGGAAGCUAAACUCCAGCUCCAGUGCAUCGGAUUAGGAAGAGUGAUGGGAUUAGUGUUUAAUGACUUGGGGCAGGAGACAAAGGGAAUUUCGACAAAGAGGCUUAGAUAUGGAAGAAUUAACACUCUGUAUUCCAACCAGGCCUCUGAUGACUUCCAGCAUUCUUUUCAGACUCAAAAGCCAAGGGAAGGGAAUAAAAAAAAAAAAAAGAUGUGCAAAGCUUUAAUACUUUUCUAACUUUUUUUAUUGCAACAACAAUACAGAGGAAAUAAAAGAACCCUAUUCACUCCUUUGGACUUGAAACCUCUUUUAAAAAUAAGCAUCUACAAUUGUAUAAUUAGCCCCAAGGUGAGCUUGCCCAGGGCCUCAAACAUGUGCCAGAAUGCUUCUCUGCUUCCUAAUGCUAGGGCAAGUCACAAACUGAUGUGGACACUAAAGCAAAACCUAUGGUAGCAGAGGCCCAGCUAAGUGGCUGUACAAGAUUUUUUUCUCUCCAUGGCUGUUUAUGUUACAGGUGCAACUGAAGGAACAGAGAAACUGUGUAAUUGUAAAACCUCCUUGUGGCCCCACAUGGCUCAUACUCAAAUGAUUCCAGUGUCUAUGGCCUGAGAAGUGCUUCAUGAAAUGAGGUGAUUAUCUUGACUACAUGAGGGGAUAACUUUGGAAAUGUGCUUAAAGUUCAAAAGUGCUCUUGAAAAGGCAUCAAGUCAACUCAGAGGCAAUGUUGGAGCUUAUCUGUAGCAUUUCCCCCGGCUUGGACAAGAAUACGGCAUCAUUAUCUAAACACAAAGCCAAAUGAACAGUGCCUCAAGUCAGAGAUUGGCAUGGUGAGUCGCCGGGAGGUGGAAAAGAGGCACAGCUUCAUUGAAGCUACAGUUGGCUGCAAGGAACCAUUUCAAAUCAUCUUAGUUCUACGGGGCCAUUCAGGUGGCAAAGGCCCAGGUAACAUUUGAUCAAGUUGCUACAGGGCUUGGACCUACUUUUAUUGCCCCUUACUUUUCCCACUAACAUUUUUGCUUGAAAUAUCGAUGUUUUUUUGGUGCAGCAAAACUCUUUUCCCACAGCUAAAUUGAAGUAGGGCAUAUGUGCUUCCCUCACCUCGCUCCCAGUCCCUCUUGACCCCGAAAUGGUCUAGCAGCCUGUGCUUUGUUAAACUGAAAAUGUGUAGAAAUUUUUAUAGAGAUAUUCAGCUAUAUAAAUAGCUUUGAAAUUUGUCAUAACUUUAAAAACAGGUCAAAAAGGAAAUUGAACAGCUAGUGAGUUUCUGUCUUAGUCCGUUUUGUGCUGCUAUAACAGAAUACCAUAAACUAGGUAAUUUAUAAACAAUAGAAGUUUAUUUGUCUCAAUGGCCAACAAGCAUAUGGAAAAAUGUUCAACAUCACUAAUUAUCAGGGAAAUACAAAUCAAAACCACAGUGCGAUACCACGUAACUUCUGCAAUAAUGGUCAUAAUCAAAAAAUAAUAAUAAAUAAAUAGAUGUUGGCAUGGAUAUGGUGAAAAGGGAACACUUUUACUGGGUUGGUGGGAAUGUAAACUAGCACAACCACUAUAGAAAACAGUAUGGAGACUCCUUAAAGAACUAAAAGUAGACCUACCAUUUGACCUAGCAACCCCACUGCUAUGUAUCUGCUCAGAAGUAAAGAAGUCAUUAUACAAAAAAGACACUUGUUACAUGCAUGUAUAUAGCAGUACAAUUGCCCAAAUGCCCAUCAAUCAAUGAGUGGAUAAAAAAUGUUAUAUACAUACAUAUAUGUGUGUGUAUAUAUACAUAUACAUAUACACACACACACACAUACACACACACACACACACACACACACAUAUACCAUGGAAUACUGCUCAGCCAAAGAAAGGAAUGAAAUAAUGGGAUUUGCAGCAACCUGGAUGGAAUUGGAGGCUAUUAUUCUAAGUGAAGUAACUCAGGAAUAGAUAACCAAACAUACAUGUUCUCACUCAUAUGUGGGAACUAAGCUAUGAGAAUGCAAAGGCAUAAGAAUGAUAUAUUGGAGUUUGGAGACUCAAAGGAAAGAGUGGGGGAGAGGGAGGGAUAAAAGACUACACAUUGGGUACAGUAUACAAUGCUUGAGUGAUGGGUGCAACAAAAUCUCAGAAAUCCCCACUAAUGAGCAUAUUCAUGUAACAAAAUACCAUCUGUUCCCCAAAACUUAUUGAAAUAAAAAAUAAAAAAUUAAUGAUAAUAACAAUAAAAAGAAGUUUAUUUGUCUUAUGUUUCUGGAGGCCAGGAAGUCCAAGAUCAAGGGGUUGCAUCUAGUGGGGGUCUUCUUGCUGAGUCAUAACCUGGCAGAAGACAUCACAUGAAGAGAGAAUGGAUGAGAGCCAGCAAGCAAGAGAGGGCCAAACUUGCUUUUAUAACAAACCCAUUCCUGACAUCAUGAACUUACCCCUGCCAUAAUGACAUUAAUCCAUUCCAGGGGGCAAAGCUCUCAUGACCUAAUCACCUCUCAAAAGUGCCACCUCUCGAUGCUGUUGCAUUGGGGAUUAAGUUUCCAACACAUGAACUCUGGGGAGAUGCAUUCAAACCUUAGCAGUUUAA